rfam:Cephalotus follicularis DNA, scaffold: scaffold2324, isolate: St1.
AAACCAUGAUGAGGACACUCUAAGAGAAGGUCUUUGAAAAGUUCCAUACACCUAGAAAAAGAUUCAUUUGGUUUUUGACGAAACUGGAGAAUGUCGUUCCUAAGUUU